GAGACUGCCAGUGAUAAACUGGAGGAAGGUGGGGAUGACGUCAAGUCAUCAUGGCCCUUACGACCAGGGCUACACACGUGCUACAAUGGCGCAUACAAAGAGAAGCGACCUCGCGAGAGCAAGCGGACCUCAUAAAGUGCGUCGUAGUCCGGAUUGGAGUCUGCAACUCGACUCCAUGAAGUCGGAAUCGCUAGUAAUCGUGGAUCAGAAUGCCACGGUGAAUACGUUCCCGGGCCUUGUACACACCGCCCGUCACACCAUGGGAGUGGGUUGCAAAAGAAGUAGGUAGCUUAACCUUCGGGAGGGCGCUUACCACUUUGUGAUUCAUGACUGGGGUGAAGUCGUAACAAGGUAACCGUAGGGGAACCUGCGGUUGGA
rnacentral:rRNA from 6 species